UGGCCAAGGAUGAGAAGUCUAAUCUGAUUGGACAUGCUUCUGUUCUGAUGGUUAAAGGAUUUACCUGAGGCCA